AGAAAUAGAUGGAGACAGUAACACAGUCAGAUCCUUGGCCAAACAACGCGGAUUGCAGUUCAUUUCAAAGUUUUGCUACUGUUCCUGAUUCAUUUCAUUGUGAUAAGAAAAGCUGCUUGGUUUUGGUAUCAGGAUGAUGCUGGCAUCAUAAAAUGAGUAUUUUUCUUCAGACUUCAGACUGCUGUGCUGGAAGCAAGAAUUUCAAGCAUUGGAUCUUAGCUUGCUGGGCUCCAUAGGGGUGGGAUCCACUGAGCUAGACCACUUGGCUCCCUGGCUUCAGCCCCCUUCCAGAUGUCCUUGGCGUGUACACCCUGUGGAAUCUGGUUCAUCUUCAAUCUGUCAGAAGGCAUCAGAGGUGGUUUUGACUCCUUAUGUCUUGGACCUGUGCACAAAAAGUACGGGCAGGAGAGGAUGCAGGAGACUGUACAAAGUUCAAGAAACGAUAUGCUUUAAUCAAGGUAAAAUGGAUGGAACAUCAGACAGCUCAUUAUAGAGACAAGUAAGCUCCAGUUCCAAAGUUGGUUGACAGAACAAGUCAUGACCUUGUGUGGAGGAAAAUGAGAUCCCGAGUGAAGUCUACAAUGUCAUUGACUCUGAAGAAGGACUCAGAGACCCAUUGGUGUUUAAUGACCCUUACUGGCCUAUGCAAUGGAAACUGAAAGACAAGAUGACUGUGGAAGUGGAAAUUGAUUCUUAUUUAAAUUUGGUUACAUUUCUUAAUUAAUCUGGUGUUUGAAUAUUGUGAAUAAAAAGAUAAUUGUUAAAUAAAAUAGUUCUUACAAAUCA
rnacentral:lncRNA from 1 species